rnacentral:rRNA from 1 species
AUGUGGUUCUGCUUUAUGGCUCUCGAGGAGAUCCUCGCCACUCUUGGCUACCUGUCGGAGUAUCCAACAUGCUCUAAGGCUAUGGCUCGGCGUUGCAUCCGGCGUGCUGUGAAGCUUACAUGGGUUGUUGAGCCAUUCUUCCAAUACGGUUCCACGCCUGGGGAGGGUUUUGGUUUCUUGGGAAUUAAUUUGGUCGACUUACGAGAGUUCGGCCGUUUAGCUUGGACAAAGGUUCUUGUGAGGGUCGUACUAUCCCAAAAUUCUGUUUGGGUAUUCCAGGCACUUUCCAUCGCACAGUACUUCUGUACUAUGGUUGCCAAGUCCGUAAAGUGCACUAUGUCACGGCGACUUAUAGCAUUAAGGAGUCCUUUGUUCGUGCAGUUUCUGCAGAAAAGAGAGACUACGUCCUCCUUGUGGCAAUCCUUGACCUUAUUAAGAGCAAGGAUAAAUCUGGCCCAGUAA